UACGGGGGGGGCAAGCGUUGUUCGGAAUUACUGGGCGUAAAGGGCUCGUAGGCGGCCAACUAAGUCAGACGUGAAAUCCCUCAGCUUAACUGGGGAACUGCGUCUGAUACUGGAUGGCUUGAGUUCGGGAGAGGGAUGCGGAAUUCCAGGUGUAGCGGUGAAAUGCGUAGAUAUCUGGAGGAACACCGGUGGCGAAGGCGGCAUCCUGGACCGACACUGACGCUGAUGCGCGAAAGCCAGGGGAGCGAACGGG
rnacentral:rRNA from 1 species